rnacentral:rRNA from 1 species
GUUGAACGCUGGCGGCAUGCCUUACACAUGCAAGUCGAACGGUAACAGGUCUUCGGAUGCUGACGAGUGGCGAACGGGUGAGUAAUACAUCGGAACGUGCCUAGUAGUGGGGGAUAACUACUCGAAAGAGUGGCUAAUACCGCAUGAGAUCUACGGAUGAAAGCAGGGGAUCGCAAGACCUUGUGCUACUAGAGCGGCCGAUGGCAGAUUAGGUAGUUGGUGGGAUAAAAGCUUACCAAGCCGACGAUCUGUAGCUAGUCUGAGAGGACGAUCAGCCACACUGGGACUGAGACACGGCCCAGACUCCUACGGGAGGCAGCAGUGGGGAAUUUUGGACAAUGGGCGCAAGCCUGAUCCAGCAAUGCCGCGUGCAGGAUGAAGGCCUUCGGGUUGUAAACUGCUUUUGUACGGAACGAAAAGCCCUGGGUUAAUACCCUGGGGUCAUGACGGUACCGUAAGAAUAAGCACCGGCUAACUACGUGCCAGCAGCCGCCGUAAGAC